rnacentral:lncRNA from 1 species
GGCGUGCUCUGGUCCAUGGGGUCACAAAGAGUCGGACACGACUAAACAACAACAAAAAUCUUGCAGAAUAAAACCGGGGUCCCACCGCCAACAUCAUACCAAUAAUUAAAUUACCUUAAAAACAACCCACCCACCCACCAAACUGCAAAAGACAUUUGUAGAAAACAAAUCAAACCAUCUAGAAUGAAUUGCUAUCCUUCCAACGAAAGCGCAGGGCGGAUCUGCUACGGGGCAGGUCUUGAGGGGCAUUUAUUUGGAAGAAAACCAGCUUGUGGCUACCCCCCCGGGGUCCGUAACCAGCCUCGGGACGGACCUCGCCUUAAGCUCCACCAAUCUCCACCCUCCUGAUGGGACCGUCGGCCUCUCAGUGGUAAGGAUGGAAAGGCACUCUGCACAUGGCUAGAGGCACUUUCUUCCCAAUGCCAAUUCUACAGCGAAGCCCUUGCGACUGAAACCUCGACGGCCGUGCGACCCAUAGGAAUAUUUGGUCUUGCGGGUUCAAUCACAUUUUCAGUUUCUGUCCCCCAGCCCAGCCCAGCGUGUCUGCCCGCCCUCGGCCUGACAUCCUACCAUGCGCGCUAUCUUUAAGGCUCCCCUCAGGGUGCGCGGGAAGGCUCGGUUCAGCUCCACCAUGGUCGCCUCUGAGGGGAAGACCGAGCUGCUGCUGCUGCUGCUGCCGCCGGCGCCGCAACCGACGGGGCAGGCGGGCGGUGCCGGAAGGGGCGCCCGUUCCUGAGCGCUCGCUUCUCCGCCGAGACGGGGGACUCUCCGCUGAGGAGCCAGAGAGGCAGGCAGACGGCCUUCUAACCCUCUCAGCUGGGCUAAACCUGUCGCCUCCGCCCCUGGCCUUGGCCGGGUCUCGGGUUCAAAUCCUCCCUCAGUCACGACCCUCAAAUGGUGGCUUCGUUUCGCGCCGCCUCCCAAGACUGGUCGUGAAACUGGACGAGUGUCUUUGGGCCUGCCUCCGAGGACGGUUGUGAGGACUGAAAACCGAGGAAAGAGGGAAAUAAAAGGUCCCCUCAUCUUCUCCUCA